CGUGCGAGAAGUAUCUUCGGAUAUGAGUAGAGCGGCGGACGGGUGAGUAACGCGUAGGAAUCUACCUAGUAGAAGGGGAUAGCCCGAGGAAACUCGGAUUAAUACCGUAUACCUCCUUCGGGAGAAAGAAGGCCUCUCUUUGAAGCUUUCGCUACUAGAUGAGCCUGCGUAAGAUUAGCUUGUUGGUGAGGUAAAGGCUCACCAAGGCUACGAUCUUUAGCGGGUCUGAGAGGACGAUCCGCCACAUUGGGACUGAGACACGGACCAGACUCCUACGGGAGGCAGCAGUGAGGAAUAUUGGACAAUGGAGGCAACUCUGAUCCAGCCAUGCCGCGUGCAGGAAGACUGCCCUAUGGGUUGUAAACUGCUUUUAUACAGGAAGAAACCUUGGUACGUGUACCAAGCUGACGGUACUGUAAGAAUAAGGAUCGG
rnacentral:rRNA from 1 species